UUUUUUUUUCAAUACAUCCAAGAUCUCAUGCUAAAACUGAAACGGAAAAUAAAACGAGAAUUGAGGAACGUCAAGUCAGAGUUAUCAGAGAUGCAGAAAGCUUUAUUAAGUCUUGGGCACAGUCCAAACUCAACAUUUACUAUGGACGAAGAUGAGUUUGACGGAAAUGACGUCACUAUUUACUCCGGCACACCGGAAAUGUCUCAAGUUGAAUUGUCAACGCAAUCUGGG
rnacentral:sRNA from 1 species